rnacentral:rRNA from 1 species
UACGAAGGGGGCUAGCGUUGUUCGGAUUUACUGGGCGUAAAGGGUGCGUAGGCGGAUUUUUAAGUCAGGGGUGAAAUCCCAAGGCUCAACCUUGGAACUGCCUUUGAUACUGAAGAUCUUGAGUUCGGGAGAGGUGAGUGGAACUGCGAGUGUAGAGGUGAAAUUCGUAGAUAUUCGCAAGAACACCAGUGGCGAAGGCGGCUCACUGGCCCGAUACUGACGCUGAGGCACGAAAGCGUGGGGAGCAAACAGG